rnacentral:rRNA from 1 species
AGCUAACGCGUGAAGUUGACCGCCUGGGGAGUACGGCCGCAAGGUUAAAACUCAAAGGAAUUGACGGGGACCCGCACAAGCGGUGGAUGAUGUGGUUUAAUUCGAUGCAACGCGAAAAACCUUACCCACCUUUGACAUGUAUGGAAGACUGCAGAGNNGCAGUUGUGCUCGAAAGAGAGCCAUAACACAGGUGCUGCAUGGCUGUCGUCAGCUCGUGUCGUGAGAUGUUGGGUUAAGUCCCGCAACGAGCGCAACCCUUGUCAUUAGUUGCUACAUUUAGUUGGGCACUCUAAUGAGACUGCCGGUGACAAACCGGAGGAAGGUGGGGAUGACGUCAAGUCCUCAUGGCCCUUAUAGGUGGGGCUACACACGUCAUACAAUGGCUGGUACAAAGGGUUGCCAACCCGCGAGGGGGAGCCAAUCCCAUAAAGCCAGUCGUAGUCCGGAUCGCAGUCUGCAACUCGACUGCGUGAAGUCGGAAUCGCUAGUAAUCGCGGAUCAGAAUGUCGCGGUGAAUACGUUCCCGGGUCUUGUACACACCGCCCGUCACACCAUGGGAGUGGGUUCUACCAGAAGUAGGUAGCCUAACCGCAAGGAGGGCGCUUACCACGGUAGGGCUCAUGNCUGGGGUGAAGUCGUAACAAGGUAA